UCAGGACAUAGCUAGCAUUAGGGUUUGAAAAGGGACUCAUAAACUAAGAACCACUUGGCCUCGUUACAAUUCUCUAACCCUCAGUUCGAUCUUUUAACUUCUCGUUUCUACAUAAACAUCCCUUCAGUAACCUGAAAUUAAGUCCUUCUCUUGAACACUAAAAGCUAUAACAAUGGAGGCCCAUGAAAACGAGUUAUGAGCUGGAAAUCGAGGCGGGCUGAUGUUAUUUGACUUGGAGAAAGAGAAAAUUCAGCAAGCGAAAGUUUGAUGUUUAUGAGGUGAUGCUGAUUCUCUGCUGAUCAUGUAAAAAUUCUUGAAGAAAGAGGAGAGAUCAUUCGAGCUCUCAAGUAUACUUUCCAGUAUUAUGUGAUGCAUGGAGUGUAUAAAAAGAAGCAUUUGGUAAUUAUUGCUGCUUCUUGAAUAUGCAAGAUGGUGAUGAAGAUUCUCCAUAGCUAUGCUAUUUGCUUUCCACUUGAUUGUCCGAACAAGGCAUAGCCCUAUUCAUCUCAUUGCUGUUCGUAUUGCAACAUAGAACAAGAUGGCUUUUAGUUUCUGGUAAAUGUAGAGCAGUGGCCUUUACUUGGGAUAAGAGAUCGAAUCGAUUCAUAAGAUGAUCUUUUUUUUUUUCAAAUUGCAUUUUAAUCCCACAGCCUGAUUAAGAUUGUAUCGUAUCGACUCAUAAGAGCUACGAAGAUUUGGGAAUUGGAAUUUCACGGGCUUGUAUGCGCAGGCACCCGUGAACACACUUAUAUGUAUGGAUUCGAGAAUUUGUGAGAUUUUCUUGUUUCAACGGAAAGUAGAAAUAAUAUUUUGGCAUCUUCUUCUCUGUGA